rnacentral:rRNA from 1 species
GACGAACGCUGGCGGCGUGCUUAACACAUGCAAGUCGAACGAAGUGGCGAACGGGUGAGUAACGCGUAAUCAACCUGCCCUUCGGAGGGGGACAACAGUUGGAAACGACUGCUAAUACCGCAUACUGAAGGGGGGGAUUGCGUUGGAUUAGCUAGUUGGAGGGGUAACGGCCCACCAAGGCGACGAUCAGUAGCGGGUCUGAGAGGAUGAUCCGCCACACUGGGACUGAGACACGGCCCAGACUCCUACGGGAGGCAGCAGUGGGGAAUUUUGGACAAUGGGCGCAAGCCUGAUCCAGCCAUGCCGCGUGUAUGAAGAAGGCCUUCGGGUUGUAAAGGACUUUUGUUAGGGAAGCGGUACCUAAAGAAUAAGCACCGGCUAACUACGUGCCAGCAGCCGCGGUAAUUC